rnacentral:rRNA from 1 species
CCUACGGGAGGCAGCAGUGGGGAAUAUUGGUCAAUGGGCGCGAGCCUGAACCAGCCAAGUCGCGUGAAGGAUGAAUGACUUACGGGUUGUAAACUUCUUUUAUAGAGGAGUAAAGUGAGGUACGUGUGCAUGUUUGUAUGUAUUUCUUGAUUACGGCUCGGAUAAUUCUGUGCCAGCAGCCGGGGUAAUACGGAGGUUCCGAGCGUUAUCCGGAUUUAUAGGGUUUAAAGGGAGUGUAGAUGGAUUGGUAAGUCAGUCGUGAAAUGUUGGGGCUAAACCGUGAAAUUGCAGUUGAAACUGGCAGGCUUGAGUACAGGAGAGGUGAGCGGAAUUCGUGGUGUAGCGGUGAAAUGCUUAGAUAUCACGAAGAACUCCAAUGGCGAAGGCAGUUCACUGGACUGCAACUGACGCUGAGGCUCGAAAGUGUGGGUAUCAAACAGGAUUAGAUACCCUAGUAGUC